rnacentral:snoRNA from 1 species
UUUCCGUGAUGAUCAACUCAGUUCUGCUUCCGAACGAGAGCAAUCAACCUCUUGUGGACAACCUUUUUACCAAAAAAACUUUUUCUGACCU